CAAAAAUUACAGAAAUUACACUGAGCAAAGCAGGGGGUUUCAGACAUCUCUUUCUCUCUCUCUCUCUCUCUCUCUUUCUAAGAUUCAAUCCAGGUCUUCCUUGGAGAAAGUCACAAAACAACGGAAAAGAAAAGGAAAGGAUAGGGAUUUUUCAUUCUUCUGUUUGCUAACUGCACUGUGGCUGGAAAUUGCUGCUAGCAACAAUGUUAUAUAGAACAUAAAGAAUAAAGAACCCUGAGAAGCGUCUAUUUAUAGAGCAAAUACUUGGAUACCAUUGUGCAGUCUCCUGCCAAUGGCAAAGAAAUACCCAUGACCUGGUAGAAAGAGCCUGGAAGGACACCUGAGUUCCAUGACUAGCUGACUUUCUUAGCUUCCCCAGCUAGCAUUUCACCAGGUUUCUCUUCCCAUUCUGCAAAAGAGGAGGUGAAGCAGUUGAUCCUUAAGUUCCCUUAAAGCUCUAACUUCCCCAAAUCCUCUCCUUUGAUUCUCUCUCAGCCACUGGAGAGAUUACUUGCCACAGUAAAGGCUGGAAUUCAGUCAGAGGAAGGCAAAGAAACAUCUAGAUGACCGAAGCAGUUGUGACACAGAAGCCUCAAGAAUGAGACGAACGUGAUUUCAGUGACAUGCUAUGGCCACCUCCUCACUGUCAUGAGUCAACCGUGGCUCUGCAGUUAAUGAACAGCAAGCCGAGAAGUUUGGUAUGUGGGCUGGUGAGCAGCUAGCCAGCUCAUCUUUCAAACACACCCACUAAGCAACAUGGUGGCUUUCUCUGGGAAUCCUCUUCCGGUCUGCAGUUCAAGUCUGGAAGGAAAGUCAAAGACUGGAGAAUGUUUAGAAAAAUUCUGCAAUAGUUUAAGGAUGAGUGGCACCAAAAAUUGUUCCUAAAUAUAGACUGGCCAACAUCUAGUGAUAUUCUCCAUUACACAAGCUUGCUGGAAGAGCUUCACAUAAAGUUUGAAUAAGAAAAGAAACUGCUGAAAUAAAAACCUAUACAAACAAGAGAAAAAAUAAUUA
rnacentral:lncRNA from 12 species